rnacentral:rRNA from 1 species
AUACGGAGGGUGCAAGCGUUACUCGGAAUCACUGGGCGUAAAGCGCGCGCAGGCGGCUAUUUAAGUUGGAUGUGAAAGCCUAUGGCUCAACCAUAGAACUGCAUCCAAAACUAUUUAGCUAGAGUGUGGGAGAGGAAGAUGGAAUUAGUUGUGUAGGGGUAAAAUCCGUAGAGAUAACUAGGAAUACCAAAAGCGAAGGCAAUCUUCUGGAACACUACUGACGCUGAGGCGCGAAAGUGUGGGGAGCAAACAGGAGUAGAAACCCUAGUAGUCC